rnacentral:tRNA from 1 species
GGUUCCGUAGCUCAAUUGGAUAGAGCAACUGCCUUCUAAGCAGUAGGUUCCGAGUUCGAAUCUCGGCGGAAUCA